GUUUGAUCAUGGCUCAGGAUGAACGCUAGCGACAGGCCUAACACAUGCAAGUCGAGGGGCAUCGGGACGUAGCAAUACGUUGCCGGCGACCGGCGGAUGGGUGAGUAACGCGUAUGCAACCUACCCGUAGCAGGGGGAUAGCCCGUUGAAAGACGGAUUAAUACCCCGUAACACAGGGGCUCCGCAUGGAGAUUAUUGUUAAAGGGUCAUUUCUUUUUCAGGGAUGGUCCGGCUGCGGAUGGGCAUGCGUUCCAUUAGGUAGUUGGUGUAGGUAACUGCUCACCAAGCCGACGAUGGAUAGGGGAACUGAGAGGUUGGUCCCCCACACUGGUACUGAGACACGGACCAGACUCCUACGGGAGGCAGCAGUGAGGAAUUUUGGUCAAUGGACGCAAGUCUGAACCAGCCAUGUCGCGUGAAGGAGGACGGCCCUAAGGGUUGUAAACUUCUUUUGCAGUGGAAUAAAGUUUGCCACGUGUUGGCGAUUUGCAAGUACGCUGCGAAUAAGGAUCGGCUAACUCC
rnacentral:rRNA from 1 species